UUUGUUGCUGCAAUUACAAUAAUCCCUUCAUUUUGCUUAAAGCCAUCCAAUUCAACAAGUAAUUGAUUCAAAGUCAUCUUCAUGUAUUGCUGAUCCUUAGGGUUACGGCUUCCCCCUAUAGCAUCUAUCUCAUCGAUAAAUAUUAUACAAGGAGAACGUUUCUUAGCAGCAGAAAAAAGAUCCCUCACUCUCCGGGCUCCAACUCCAACAAACAUCUCCUCAAACUCACU
rnacentral:misc_RNA from 1 species